rnacentral:rRNA from 1 species
AUUGAACGCUGGCGGCAUGCCUUACACAUGCAAGUCGAACGGUAACAGGUCUUCGGAUGCUGACGAGUGGCGAACGGGUGAGUAAUACAUCGGAACGUGCCUAGUAGUGGGGGAUAACUACUCGAAAGAGUGGCUAAUACCGCAUGAGAUCUACGGAUGACAGCAGGGGAUCGCAAGACCUUGUGACUCCAGAGCGGCCGAUGGCAGAUUAGGUAGUUGGUGGGAUAAAAGCUUACCAAGCCGACAAUCUGUAGCUGGUCUGAGAGGACGAUCAGCGACACUGGGACUGAGACACGGCCCAGACUCCUACGGGAGGCAGCAGUGGGGAAUUUUGGACAAUGGGGGAAAGCCUGAUCCAGCAAUGCCGCGUGCAGGAUGAAGGCCUUCGGGUUGUAAACUGCUUUUGUACGGAACGAAAAGCCCCGGGUUAAUACCCUGGGGUCAUGACGGUACCGUAAGAAUAAGCACCGGCUAACUACGUGCCAGCCGCCGCCGUAA